UCUUAAACUUAUGUAUAUGUAGGUUCUG
rnacentral:sRNA from 1 species